ACUCGACUACCCAGCAAAACGCAAAGGAUUUUCACCCAACACUUAAGACUGGCCAGGGUAACCAGUUGUUAUGGAUGAGGAGUGCCUAAAGAACUUCCAAAAAGGACCACUCUGGGUUGUGUUUUGGCUCCCUGAAGAAACGUCACCGAUGAGCCAGGGGGAACAGUGGAUAAGAAACCGGGAACAUAAGUGAACGUAAAUGAAGUUACAGGACCAGUUUUUGUAAUUGAGUAUUCUAAUUGUGCGAGUGAGCACUGAGUGUCCGUGGAAGCUGAAGAACUGUACUGUUUGAUUUGUGGGUUUUGAAGGGAGUGGGACAAAAUGUUUGGACGGUAUAUGGAAGUAAUUGUUGAUGGUACGUGGAAGUGCAGUGGAGAGCACGAAUAGUGGGACUGUGGAAAAAACGGCAGCGGGGUUAAGGAAAAACAGCGAGUUUGAGAUAUGAGAGCUUGUGAUCUGCACCGGGUGCCGGCACGAGAGCACAUGCCCUGCACCGCACCCCCCACCGCCUCCACCGCCGCGGCUGUAAGCAGAACUCUGGGAGUGAGAGAGAGAGCUGGGGCCGGAGACUCCUGCUGUCAACAGCGUGUUACUUGUGAACGGGGCGGGGAGGGGACGAGACGGGACGGGACGGGACGGGACGUUAGAAGCCUCCAUCUGCAGAGACGUAGGAAACCCGACAUCCCAGUGUUGGCACUGGAAGCCUCCGGAGGGAAGGAGGCAAAACUGAAAUAAAACGCUGUUAGUUUCUGCAACGCUUGGAAAGUGAGAAAGGUUUGAGAAAGACACGGGCUGAGGAAGGCAAAGAUGAGCAAGGCGUAACAGGGAUGUCAGGAACAAGGAGGGAGGUGAGGGAUCUGGGAAAACUGAUUGAGGAACAGAGGUAGCAAGGAAACUGGGAAGAGCAACAGCAGCUGCUACUGUUGCUGCGCCAGAGCAGGGCCCUAGGACCCAGAGAUCCCCUCGGGAAGAGGCGGGGGUGGGGGGGGGCUGGAACGGCCCAGGGAGGGUUCCACCCCCAUUGGGCAGAAAGCAGCGUGCAAAUAUCAGGGAAGCAGGGCAUUGGUGGAGAAGCUGUCCCAAGCUAAGGGGGAGGGAAACGCCUCUGAUCACAAAAGCUGAAUGAUGGGAACCUGGGAUACCCUAGCAGAGCCACUGGUUAAAUUGCAGCUAGGCGAACAAGGUAAAGAGGUUAAUUUUCUGGUGGAUACAGGGGCCUCUCACUCUGUGCCACAUCAAGAAUGAUUACCCAUAGAUCCUGAUUUUGUAACAGCAGU
ensembl:lncRNA